UAACAUCCCAAAACACCCUUAUACUUUGCUUGGUUCUGUUCAACUGUUUUUUUCACAUCAUCCUUGUUUGGGGCCUCAGGUCGUGCCUUUAACAAUCUAGCAAUGUUCAGUUUAGUAUUCAUCCGUUUCCCAUGCAGUAACUCUGCGGGUGAUCUUUGCCUUGUGGCAUGUCAUGUAGCCCUUUAUGCUUGCAAGAAAUCAGUAGUAAAGGGUAUCCACAAUCACCCUUCCAGUUUAGCUGUUUGCAAACUCUUUCAAACUUCUGUUAAACGGUUCGAUUUCCUCACUGGCUUGAGGGUAAUACAGGGAUGACCUUCUGUGUAAAUUGUUCCUCUCUGCUAGAAAGGUUUCAAACUCCAGGGAAGUAAACUGACUACC